AACGAACGCUGGCGGCAUGCUUAACACAUGCAAGUCGAACGAGACCUUCGGGUCUAGUGGCGCACGGGUGCGUAACGCGUGGGAAUCUGCCCUUAGGUACGGAAUAACUCAGAGAAAUUUGUGCUAAUACCGUAUGAUGUCGAAAGACCAAAGAUUUAUCGCCUAAGGAUGAGCCCGCGUAAGAUUAGCUUGUUGGUGAGGUAAAAGCUCACCAAGGCGACGAUCUUUAGCUGGUCUGAGAGGAUGAUCAGCCACACUGGGACUGGGACACGGCCCAGACUCCUACGGGAGGCAGCAGUGGGGAAUAUUGGGCAAUGGGCGAAAGCCUGAUCCAGCAAUGCCGCGUGAGUGAUGAAGGCCUUAGGGUUGUAAAGCUCUUUUACCAGGGAUGAUAAUGACAGUACCUGGAGAAUAAGCUCCGGCUAACUCCGUGCCAGCAGCCGCG
rnacentral:rRNA from 1 species